GACGAACCGUGCGAACGUUGUACGGAAUCACUGGGCUUAAAGGGCGCGUAGGCGGGCUGCCAAGUCUGGGGUGAAAUCCCACGGCUCAACCGUGGAACUGCCUCGGAUACUGGCGGCCUCGAGGGAGGUAGGGGCGUGCGGAACUGUGGGUGGAGCGGUGAAAUGCGUUGAUAUCCACAGGAACUCCGGUGGCGAAGGCGGCACGCUGGACCUUUUCUGACGCUGAGGCGCGAAAGCCAGGGGAGCAAACGGG
rnacentral:rRNA from 1 species